GUCCACGCUGUAAACGAUGAUCACUCGGUGUUGGGAGUUCGACCCUCUCAGUGCCUAAGCUAACGCGAUAAGUGAUCCGCCUGGGAAGUACGGUCGCAAGACUAAACUCAAAGGAAUAGACGGGGACCCACACAAGCGGUGGAGCGUGUGGUUUAAUUCGACAAUAAGCGAGGAACCUUACCUAGGCUUGACAUCUCGAGAAUACACCCGAAAGGGAGUAGUGCCGUAAGGAACUCGAUGACAGGUGCUGCAUGGUUGCCGU
rnacentral:rRNA from 1 species